rnacentral:rRNA from 1 species
UACGUAGGUGACCAGCGUUGUCCGGAUUUACUGGGCGUAAAGAGCGCGCAGGCGGUCGUUCAAGUCGAGUGUGAAAGCCCCCGGCUCAACUGGGGAGGGUCAUUCGAUACUGAUCGACUUGAAGGCAGGAGAGGGAAGUGGAAUUCCCGGUGUAGUGGUGAAAUGCGUAGAUAUCGGGAGGAACACCAGGUGGCGAAGGCGGACUUCCUGGCCUGUUCUUGACGCUGAGGCGCGAAAGCUAGGGGAGCAAACGGGG